GCACUGCUGACGAGUCCCAAGAACAAGACGAAACAGCCUUCCAGUGC
rnacentral:hammerhead_ribozyme from 1 species